CUAGGUCAGGUUCCCCACUUGGUGCAGUAGGAUGCAAGGUUAGGGGCAAAGAGGGCACAGUGCAGGGGAUCGGGGCUCAGGAAUGGGCAGG